GGACGUGAGGGCAAUCUAGCUCCAACACCUAUUACCCCAUUGAUCGCCAGGGUGGAUGGGGCUGCUCUGGCUGGCUAGGCCGGUAUCCCCUUCCUCCCUCACUGCUCCAUGUGCGCCCCUCCCAAACAGAGGAGGACAGGCCUUCUGUUAAGGGCAUGCAACUAGCUGUGCUCCCCUGCUAAAACAAUAUAAAUUCUUUCCGGUGCACUUCCGGAGGUCAGAAAACUUAAAUUUAUUUUAUGGCACUCAUGUAGAAAUGUAGGCAAUGUCUGCUCGU
rnacentral:snRNA from 1 species